rnacentral:rRNA from 1 species
CACUAGCGUAUAUUAAUGUUGCUGCAGUUAAAAAGCUCGUAGUUGGAUUUCUGGUGCGAUCUGGUUCGCCCGGCACGGAUGUGUUGAGUGCGUUUUGGAUCCAUCAUCCUUCUCAAGAAGCCUGCGUCCUUUGCGUCGUGGGAGUCACUUUUUGGGAUCGUUUACUUUGAAAAAAUUAGAGUGUUUAAAGCAGGCUUGCGCUUUGAAUACAUUAGCAUGGAAUAAUAAUAUAGGACUUUGGUUCUAUUUUGUUGGUUCUAGGAGCUAAAGUAAUGAUUGAUAGGGAUAGUUGGGGGUGCUAGUAUUCGGGGGCCAGAGGUGAAAUUCUUGGAUUCCCUGAAGACUAACUUAUGCGAAAGCAUUCACCAAGGAUGUCUUCUUUAA